rnacentral:rRNA from 1 species
UACGGAGGAUGCGAGCGUUAUCCGGAUUUAUCGGGUUUAAAGGGUGCGUAGGCGGGCUUUUAAGUCAGCGGUAAAAAUUCGGGGCUCAACCCCGUCCGGCCGUUGAAACUGGGGGCCUUGAGUGGGCGAGAAGAAGGCGGGAUGCGUGGUGUAGCGGUGAAAUGCAUAGAUAUCACGCAGAACCCCGAUUGCGAAGGCAGCCUUCCGGCGCCCUACUGACGCUGAGGCACGAAAGUGCGGGGAUCGAACAGG